rnacentral:rRNA from 1 species
GACGAACGCUGGCGGCGUGCUUAACACAUGCAAGUCGAGCGGUAAGGCCCUUUCGGGGGUACACGAGCGGCGAACGGGUGGGUAACACGUGGGUGACCUGCCCUUAGCUCUGGGAUAAGCCUGGGAAACUGGGUCUAAUACCGGAUAUGACUCCAUAACGCAUGUUGUGGGGUGGAAAGCCUUGUGCGGCUAGGGAUGGGCCCGCGGCCUAUCAGCUUGUUGGUGGGGUGAUGGCCUACCAAGGCGACGACGGGUAGCCGGCCUGAGAGGGCGACCGGCCACACUGGGACUGAGACACGGCCCAGACCCCUACGGGAGGCAGCAGUGGGGAAGUCUUGCGCAAU